rnacentral:rRNA from 1 species
GAUUGCCCUAGUAUCGGCGAGUGGAGCGGCAACAGCUCAAAUUUGAAAUCUGGCUCUUUUAGAGUCCGAGUUGUAAUUUGCAGAGGGCGCUUUGGCGUUGGCAGCGGUCCAAAUUCCUUGGAACCGGACGUCACAGAGGGUGAGAAUCCCGUACGUGGUCGCUAACCUUCGCCGUGUAAAGCCCCUUCGACGAGUCGAGUUGUUUGGGAAUGCAGCUCUAAAUGGGAGGUAAAUUUCUUCUAAAGCUAAAUACUGGCCAGAGACCGAUAGCGCACAAGUAGAGUGAUCGAAAGAUGAAAAGCACUUUGGAAAGAGAGUCAAAUAGCACGUGAAAUUGUUGAGAGGGAAGCGCUUGCAGCCAGACUUGCCUGUAGUUGCUCAUCCGGGCUUUUGCCCGGUGCACUCUUCUGCGGGCAGGCCAGCAUCAGUUUGGGCGGUUGGAUAAAGGUCUCUGUCAUGUACCUCUCUUCGGGGAGGCCUUAUAGGGGAGACGUCAUGCAACCAGCCUGGACUGAGGUCCGCGCAUCUGCUAGGAUGCUGGCGUAAUGGCUGUAAGCGGCCCGUCUUGA